rnacentral:rRNA from 1 species
AGAGCGGCGGACGGGUGAGUAAUGCUUGGGAAUCUGCCUUUUGGUUCGGAACAACACGGGGAAACCUGUGCUAAUACCGGAUAAGUCCUAACGGAGAAAGUUUUAAUGCCAAAAGAUGAGCCCGCACUUGAUUAGCUAGUUGGUAAGGUAAUGGCUUACCAAGGCAACGAUCAAUAGCUGUUCUUAGAGGAAGACCAGCCACAUUGGGACUGAGACACGGCCCAAACUCC